CUUAUUUCAUGCUCUUUCUUGGAGCUGGAAUGAUGGCUGCACUUGCAAUCUGGGUUUAGAUUAUUAUUAUUUUUUUAUUGUAUUCAGGAGAAUAGUGCUACUUUCUCACAAAAGUGUGGGCUAUUCUUGUAAUACAAAGAAAAGUGUUGUAAUACAAAGAAUAUGCCCCGCUGAUAAAAGAUGGUGCAUGGCCUGAUCUCUGAGUGAGAAUAGAAGUCAUUAAGUGAAUGUUGUUGUAGUCUUUU
rnacentral:misc_RNA from 1 species